rfam:Chlorocebus sabaeus isolate 1994-021 chromosome 18, whole genome shotgun sequence.
GCCGGGCGCAGUGGCUCACGCCUGUAAUCCCAACACUUUGGGAGGCCAAGACGGGUGGAUCACGAGGUCAGGAGAUCGAGACCAUCCUGGCUAACACCGUGAACCCCCGUUUCUACUAAAAAUACAAAAAAAAAACUAGUUCAAAACCCUNNNNNNNNNNAGGGUUUUGAACUAGUUUUUUUUUUGUAUUUUUAGUAGAAACGGGGGUUCACGGUGUUAGCCAGGAUGGUCUCGAUCUCCUGACCUCGUGAUCCACCCGCCUC